ACUCCUACGGGAGGCAGCAGUGGGGAAUUUUGGACAAUGGGCGCAAGCCUGAUCCAGCAAUGCCGCGUGCAGGAUGAAGGCCUUCGGGUUGUAAACUGCUUUUGUACGGAACGAAAAGCCCUGGGUUAAUACCCUGGGGUCAUGACGGUACCGUAAGAAUAAGCACCGGCUAACUACGUGCCAGCAGCCGCGGUAAUACGUAGGGUGCAAGCGUUAAUCGGAAUUACUGGGCGUAAAGCGUGCGCAGGCGGUUUUGUAAGACAGAGGUGAAAUCCCCGGGCUCAACCUGGGAACUGCCUUUGUGACUGCAAGGCUAGAGUACGGCAGAGGGGGAUGGAAUUCCGCGUGUAGCAGUGAAAUGCGUAGAUAUGCGGAGGAACACCGAUGGCGAAGGCAAUCCCCUGGCCUGUACUGACGCUCAUGCACGAAAGCGUGGGGGAGCAAACAGGAUUAGAUACCCUGGUAGACAU
rnacentral:rRNA from 1 species